CCCAACACAGAGGAGAAACAGCAAACACAGUGAAAAAGGGACCAGCAGGGGAGAGGUUCAAGUGGAAGACUUGGGCUGACGGCCUCAUGACAGUUUUGGGAGAGCAGAUGGCAUCAGACAGAAGUGACGCAGCACCGGCGCACGAGCAGAUGGACUCGCCAGCGAGGCCGAACAAAACCGCCUGGAAGGCGAGGAAGCUGUAAAUUCAGACGGCUCCUUUAAAGACCACAGCAGUAAAGGAAAGAGCAGGGCAGGACACUAGUUCCGAAAGACUCAAAGCUGAGGACCAGGAAUUUUAGGAGAGAAGUGACUGAAAUCCUGGAGGAUGGAGGGAAAAGAAUCACUAGAGGAGAGGGACUCUGAGAGCGAGGUUAGAUAAGCGACUGAAACAUAAAACUCAAGACCUAGAAAAGGAAGAGGAUUAAAGAACAUAUGUCAACGUCUUAGCCUUCGAGUUAAGGAGUGGAAUCUCUUCCUCGGAACGGAAGGCAAGCAGGUGAGAGCAGUUAGGGAGGGAUGCUGAGGCGUGUGUGUCUGACGGCCUUUAUCUCCUCCAUAAAGGAAGAAAAGCCUCGGUGUCUAACAGGUGGGAAGUGGGUGACACGGUAAGUGUGGUCAAGGUUUUGAUUAGCUCCUGCCCGCCUGCCGGGGAUGAUAAAAGAAGGGGAUGAGAGAUUAGGUAAAGGAUUACCCAAGUACACCAAGAGCCCAGCUGAGGUUGCAACUCUCACCCUCGUAAAAAGCAGACUGCAGACUACGCAAGUACUCCCAAGAACGGGCAGGAGGAGGGACACACAGCUUGCGCCCCACGUUUCAAACGGGCAGGAGCUGCAGAGGGAGAGCAACAGAAAGAAGGCAGUGACGUGAGGUGCCGGUGAGGGACUAGUUGCGGUAACGACCACAGAAGGGAAGGGAAUAUAAGGGAAGAAAAGGCAGGAGCAGACUGAAGAUUGAAGACCUGCGCGGAGGCUGAAGAGCAGGAGAAGCAGAGAGGAAAACAGGAUUUCUUAAGAAGAAAAAACUGUGCUUCAUUUUCCAAAGCUGUUUUCUCUGCUGUCCUUACUUAUUUAACCAAAUUGGAAACAUGGUAUGAAUCAAAACAAUCAUUUCUGAAAGAGGAUUAAUAACUUAGACCAUAGGAACAUAUAAGGGAUUAUAAAACGCUUUCUAUUUUAAUAUUAUCUUGGUGCCACUUACCUUCUUAAGAAAGCCUCUAAUAAGAACAUAAGAGAACUUAUUUUCAAAGGAAUUUCAUUAAAGAGUGAAAAAGAAAAACAUAACAUGCAUGCAUCCUUGCAAAUUUGGGAUAUGUCAAAUGAAUAAGAAGAACACACCAAAAAGUUCUGGAAAAUCUUCAGAUUUCUAAAGAACCAGGGC